UACGAAGGGGGCUAGCGUUGCUCGGAAUCACUGGGCGUAAAGGGUGCGUAGGCGGGUCUUUAAGUCAGAGGUGAAAUCCUGGAGCUCAACUCCAGAACUGCCUUUGAUACUGAGGGUCUUGAGUAUGACAGAGGUGAGUGGAACUGCGAGUGUAGAGGUGAAAUUCGUAGAUAUUCGCAAGAACACCAGUGGCGAAGGCGGCUCACUGGGUCAUUACUGGACGCUGAGGCACGGAAAAGCGAUG
rnacentral:rRNA from 1 species